rnacentral:rRNA from 1 species
CUACGGGUCGCAGCAGUGGGGAAUAUUGCGCAAUGGGGGAAACCCUGACGCAGCAAUGCCGCGUGGGUGAAGAAGGCCUUCGGGUUGUAAAGCCCUUUCAGUGGGGAAGAUGGUGACGGUACCCACAGAAGAAGCUCCGGCUAACUCCGUGCCAGCAGCCGCGGUAAUACGGAGGGGGCGAGCGUUGUUCGGAAUCACUGGGCGUAAAGGGCGCGUAGGCGGUUUGGCAAGUCAGAAGUGAAAUCCCCAGGCUUAACCUGGGAAUGGCUUUUGAAACUGCUUGACUUGAGUCCGGCAGAGGGUGGUGGAAUUCCCCGUGUAGAGGUGAAAUUCGUAGAUAUGGGGAGGAACACCGGAGGCGAAGGCGGCCACCUGGACCGGUACUGACGCUGAGGCGCGAAAGCGUGGGGAGCAAACAGGAUUAGAUACCCCCGUAGUC